rnacentral:lncRNA from 1 species
GAGUACUAUCAAUGUAUCAAGGGAGGUAGUUCUCUCCACAGGCGCCCUCAAGACUCCCUUCAUCCUUAAGCACUCCGGAAUCGGACCCAAGGAGGAGCUGGAGAACUUCGACAUCACGGUUGUUAAGGACUUGCCUGGUGUUGGCGAAAACUUCCAUGACCAUCCGACCUUUCCUGUAAGCUUCACCUUGAACGACCUCGACGAAUACGACGACAGCUGGGCUGUUGCUGUUGAGUACCUCACGUUCCGAACCUGGCCUUUGUCAUCCACUGGACUGACUCAGGUUGUAGGCGUCUUGCCGAACAACGAUACCACUGAUGAAUGGCCCAACGUACAGCUCAAUCCUGCUGGUUACCAGUCAGGUUGCGCUCCUGGUGAAAUCGACGCCCUUAAGAGCUCUGGAAAACGUAGCGUGAGCAUAUCCGUUGGAUGGUAGCACCACGGCAGCAAAGGAAACAUCACCCUGCGUUCGAGCAACGUCACUGACAAGCCCGUCUUCUGGGGAAAUUUCCUGGGUGAGCAGGAAGAUGUUGAUGGUUUGGUCAGCGGUGUCAACUUGGCUUUGAAGUUGGCUGAAACUGACGCCUUGAAGGCCUGGAAUCUAACUUUGUCCACCACGACACUUUCCGGAUGCGCAGACUACCAUUACCCUAGUGACGAGUAUUGGGCUUGCGCUGUCAAGUACGACACUGCUUUUGGACAUCAUUACUGUGGUACCGCCAAGAUGGGCAAUUCCUCCGAUUCCAUGGCAGUCGUCGAUCCUCAGCUACGCGUUUCUGGAAUCAGCGGACUUCACGUUGCCGACGCAUCUGUCAUGCCACAAGUCACAUCAAACAACAUUGCGGCGCCCGUAAUGAUGAUUGAAGAGUGAGCUGUCGACUUUAUCAAGAAAACCUGGGCCUAGUAAUUUUGGCCGUGGCAUAGAGACUCUUGUGAAUAUUGAUUAUCUGUAAUGAAACCAUGUAAAAAAAAGUAAAAUUUUAAAUAAAGGCUUGUGUUCGUUACGGAUCUGCGAAGUUUGCCGUUAUUUU